rnacentral:rRNA from 1 species
CACGGGGGGGGCAAGCGUUGUUCGGAAUUACUGGGCGUAAAGGGCUCGUAGGCGGCCAACUAAGUCAGACGUGAAAUCCCCAGGCUCAACCUGGGAACUGCGUCUGAUACUGAUUGGCUUGAAUCCGGGAGAGGGAUGCAGAAUUCCAGGUGUAGCGGUGAAAUGCGUAGAUAUCUGGAGGAAUACCGGUGGCGAAGGCGGCAUCCUGGACCGGCAUUGACGCUGAGGAGCGAAAGCCAGGGGAGCAAACGGG